GAAAGCCUCUGAGGGAUGUCCUCUCCUCUUUAUUUUAAUAAAUCCCCAAACCACCAUGUUUGUAUCACACUUCCUUGAGUCUUUAGAGAAACUUUUGGGGCAGGCACGGAGAGUAGCUGGGGGGUGGGCACGCAGGUCUGUGCAGGCACUUUGGGACCACAGGCAGGGCUGGGGUAAUGCAGGUGGCACAGGCUUGUGUUGCAGCAAACGUUGGUGGCUGUGGGGAUCGGAGGGAAGCGAGUGCCAGAACGGCUGUGCUGAGGGCUGCUGUUGUGGUUUCAGUGCUGGAGCUCGUGGGUUGGAGAGGGGGAGGCGAACCAAAAUAUUUAUACCAUAAGAUGUGCACUUUUUUUGAGCCGAAGCUUGGGCAGCAUCCCAGCCCUUCCAUAUGUGCCUGUAGACACGGCUUUACCUGAUUCUUCUCUCUCCCAGUGAGAGUGCAGCUCAGCUGCUCUGUUGCAGAGGCAGAAGCGGGCAUCUCCUGUGCUGGAUGCUGGGAGUGUGAAAGCUCUUCCCCUGCCCUCUUGUGCUCUUGGGUUCAGGACUGAAACAUCACCCAAAUGGAGAUGGUGGGUUUGAGAGGACUGAAAUUUCUCAGGAUCCAGCCCCAGAGAGCUGCCGUGGGGUAAGGAAGAGCAUGGAGCAUUCCUUUUUCCUGUGGCUGGGAUAAGCAACACCAUGGGCUGGAAGUGCUGCAGAGUUAAUCACAGCUGUGGGAGCUGAACAACACUGGUGUGCGUUGGAAAGGACCAGAAUGACAUCCCUGUCUCUUGAGCCUUUGAGAAGCAGUGUGAGCUGGAAGGACAGACCUGAGCAGCCCUGUGCGGGAGGAGGUGCCCUGCUUGCUAAUUGCCAAGCAGGUAUGAGCCGCUGGCUUGGCUUCGUGGCAGCCUCUCCACACUUGGACUUUGAGGCAUGGGAUGACAGUGGCACAGUGUUGGUACCUGGGAGAGGACAUGGGAGCCAGGGCCCAGAUCCUCCUUUGCCACUGACUGCUUUCUGGUAUGUGUUGAAGCUUGCUUGGGAUCAGUCUGGGGCAGGCAGCAAAGGAACCUCCUUUCUGGAGGGGACUAGUUGAAACUCACGUAUUGGGUUUGCUUUGGUGGAACAAAUUCAUCUGCAGGGAUGUUCAGUCCAGCUUUUCUUUGCCGUGAUGAUGGUACACACAGGGGUGCCUGUCUGGGUGUGGUUACCCUGUGCUGGGGAGAGCCUGCAGGAGCCAGACCCACAUUCCAUACUGCAGCCAAAGGAGGUUUAUUUCUUGGUGUUGGCUUCCUUCUGGCAUAUGUUUGUGAAUGAGCACAAGCAUGUUUCGGGGCAAGUGUUUGCUAAUAUAUGAUUUAUUGUUAGCCUUACAUCUCUGUGCCAUCCCAUACACAGGAGUGCACACACACAGAUGAGUACAGGCAAGUGCACACAGCUGCCAAGGAUGAGGCUUUGUCCCCAUCCAGCAGCAAGGGGGAGGACUGACAGCCCUGUUUCCUUUCCCUUACUGAUGUAUAUCAUAUAGCACUUACCCACUCUACAAACAUCUUCUGCAUGUUUGUCCAGGUGGAAACCCUGUCAACCUUGCUUGUAAUUAAUGCCCUCAGGUCCCCAGACUCUUAACAAAACAAUGUGCAUUGUAUGUUCACACGUUUUCUUGUUGAAAAAACAGUUUCUAUCAGCUUGUCUGCUACCUCUUUCCGUCUAAUGUAUUUUUUGACACAGGUGGCAAAGCUGUGAUUUAAGAUGAGAGAUGGGGCAAGAGGAAGGAUGUCUUUGUGGCUGUGCAAUGGAGCAGGUGUGAAGGAGGUGAGUUGCAGUCUGUCUCCUGUAGCCCCUCCAUCCUUCUGCAUAUGCUAUUACAAAUACCCCACCACUGUUUCUCCUAUGUUUGUAAAUUGCCAGUGAACCCACAGUGAUUCCCUUGAGUUUCUCAUUUGGCUCCUGUAAAGAAGGUCUUCUCCUCCCCAUUUUCAUUUCACUUCUGGUCAGGUCACAGCACCCGAGGCAUCAACGCGCCAGUGAGCAAACAGGUUGCAGCCAUCAGCAGAGCAAAUUGGCAAACCUCAGCUGAUGUGUUCGUCCAGAUGGCA
ensembl:lncRNA